rnacentral:rRNA from 1 species
GCUUACGGCCACACCUCCCUGAGCAUGCCCGAUCUCGUCUGAUCUCGGAAGCUAAGCGGGUCGGCCCGGUUAGUACUUGGAUGGGAGACCGCCUGGGAAUACCAGUGCUGUAAGCC